UACGUAGGGGGCGAGCGUUAUCCGGAAUUACUGGGCGUAAAGCGCAUGCAGGCGGUCUGCCAAGUUUCGGCUGACAGUCCUCGGCUUAACCGAGGAAGGCGUCGGAAAACUAGUAGACUUGAGACAUCGAGAGGCAGAUGGAAUUCCGUGUGGAGCAGUGAAAUGCGUAGAGAUGCGGAAGAACACCCGAGGCGAAGGCGAUCUGCUGGCGAUGUUCUGACGCUCAGAUGCGAAAGCUAGGGGAG
rnacentral:rRNA from 1 species